rnacentral:tRNA from 1 species
GCCCAGGUGGCGAAAUUGGUAGACGCACCAGAUUUAGGUUCUGGCGCCGUAAGGUGUGGAGGUUCGAGUCCUCUCCUGGGCACCA